rnacentral:rRNA from 1 species
AUUGAACGCUGGCGGAAUGCUUUACACAUGCAAGUCGAGCGGCAGCGCGGGGCAACCUGGCGGCGAGCGGCGAACGGGUGAGUAAUGCAUCGGAACGUACCCCCGUCGUGGGGGAUAACUACCCGAAACGGGUAGCUAAUACCGCAUACGACCUGAGGGUGAAAGCGGGGGACCGAAAGGCCUCGCGCGAUGGGAGCGGCCGAUGCCGGAUUUAGCUAGUUGGUAGGGUAAAGGCCUACCAAGGCGACGAUCCGUAGCUGGUCUGAGAGGACGACCAGCCACACUGGAACUGAGACACGGUCCAGACUCCUACGGGAGGCAGCAGUGGGGAAUUUUGGACAAUGGGCGAAAGCCUGAGUCCAGCCAUUCCGCGUGAGUGAAGAAGGCCUCGGGUUGUAAGU